GUAAUAGCUCACUAGUCGAGAGGUCCUGCGCCGAAAAUGUCCGGGGCUGAAACACGACACCGAAGCACAGGAUACCGUAUGGUAUGGUAGAGGAGCAUUGCUGGCGCGAUGAAGCAGUACCGGAAGGAGCUGUGGAGUGCCAGGAAGAGAGAAUGCCGGAAUGAGUAGCGAGAGAGAGGUGGGAAUCCUCUCGGCCGAAUAUCCAAGGUUUCCAGGGUAAAGCUGAUCUGCCCUGGGUAAGUCGGGGCCUAAGGAGAGGCAGAAAUGCGUAUCCGAUGGACAGCAGGUUGAGAUUCCUGCACUAUCUUAAAACAGAACUGUGGGGACAUUUGUGGAAAGCACAGGCGCGGAACGGAAAGCCGCGUGCAAGCGAAGGAGGAGUCACAUAGGAAAAACCGUGUGGCAAUCCAAAGGCGUGAUGCGGACCGAAUUAAAGUAGGGAAGUGUGUGAGCCAUGAAUCAAGAAAAGCCGCUAUUGUUUUUAAGAUACCCGUACCGUAAACCGACACAGGUGGAUGAGGAGAGAAUCCUAAGGCCGGCGGGAGAAGCAUUGUUAAGGAACUCGGCAAAAUGACCCCGUAACUUCGGGAGAAGGGGUGCCAACGAGAGUUGGCCGCAGAGAAUAGGCUCAAGCAACUGUUUAGCAAAAACACAGGUCUAUGCAAAACCGUAAGGUGAGGUAUAUGGGCUGACGCCUGCCCGGUGCUGGAAGGUUAAGAGGAGAGGUUAGCGCAAGCGAAGCUUUGAAUUUAAGCCCCAGUAAACGGCGGCCGUAACUAUAACGGUCCUAAGGUAGCGAAAUUCCUUGUCGGGUAAGUUCCGACCCGCACGAAAGGCGUAAUGAUUUGAGCGCUGUCUCGACAAUGCAUCCGGUGAAAUUGAAGUACCAGUGAAGAUGCUGGUUACCCGCGCCAGGACGGAAAGACCCCAUGGAGCUUUACUCCAGUUUGGUACUGGGGUCCGGCAGUGCAUGUACAGGAUAGGUGGGAGGCUGUGAACCUGGAACGCCAGUUUCAGGGGAGCCAUUGUUGGGAUACCACCCUUGUGCUGCUGGGCUUCUAACCAGCGGCCUUUAUCAGGCCGGGGGACAAUGCCAGACGGGGAGUUUGACUGGGGCGGUCGCCUCCGAAAGGGUAUCGGAGGCGCCCAAAGGUUCCCUCAGAAUGGACGGAAACCAUUCGAAGAGUGCAAAGGCAGAAGGGAGCUUGACUGCGACACCGACGG
rnacentral:rRNA from 1 species